AAUGAACGCUGGCGGCGUGCCUAAUACAUGCAAGUCGAACGAACAGACGAGAAGAUUGUGCCUUUGACGUUAGCGACGGGCGGGUGAGUAACGCGUGGAUCCCAACCCAAUAUUACUGGGGGGAUUACGGGAAAAAGGUUACACUAAUGGAUCAUACGUUCUACCGCAUGGAGCAAGAGUGAAUGAGGGCUUUCGCGUCUCUAAGAGCUGAUUCCGCAACGGAUUAGCGAGGUGGUAAAGUAACGGCUUACCAAGGCUACGAUGCGUAUCCGACCUGACAGGGUGAUCGGCCACACUGGAACUGAGACACGGUCCAGACUCCUACGGGAGGCAGCAGCAGGGAAUAUUCCGCAAUGGGCGAAAGCCUGACCCAGCCAUACCGCGUGAGUGAUGAAGGUCUUCGGAUUGUAAAGCUCUGUUGUUGGGGAAGAACAGCGGUGUAAUGAAAUCUGCCCGUUUUGACGGUACCCAAUGAGUAAGCCACGGCUAACUACGUG
rnacentral:rRNA from 1 species